CCUUAAAAAUUUCAUCCAUUUCAACUAUUAAAAACUUGUGUAUCUGACAGAAUAACCAGACAGUUCACAUAAUGUGCCAUGUGUAUCUCAUUCUAGUGUGCAGGAACCAUUUUUUAAUAGUAGAAAAAAAUAAAAAUUUUAAUA
rnacentral:pre_miRNA from 1 species